rnacentral:miRNA from 1 species
AAUGGCACUGUAUGAAUUCACUG